UAGUCUUAUCGGUGGAUCACUCGGCUCGUGGAUCGACGAAGAACGCAGCCAACUGCGAUAAUUAGUGUGAACUGCAGAAACCUUGAACACAGAAAAUUCGAAUGCACAUUGCGCCAGUGGAGUUAAAUCCAUUGGCACGCCUGGUUCAGGGUCGUUAC
rnacentral:rRNA from 1 species